rnacentral:lncRNA from 1 species
AGGGACGGACUGGCACCUGCAGGAAGGACAGGGGCUUGGCUGAGCAGAGCAUGGCCAGCCUAGCCGAGGGCAGCCAGCAUCCUACACUCACUGGUCUCGAGGUGCCCAAGCCAGGGGCCCAGGACUUUGGGCAUUACUGGGAAAUGAUGGGAACCCAGGGUGAGGUGGCGUGAAACAAGAUGAGAUGGUCCCGCAACUUAGCUGUGGAGACAGAUGGCAGUGGCAAGAGGCCGCUGCACGUGAACAAAUGCCCUCCCCACUCCGCGCACCCCCUGGUGGCUCAGGAGACUCUAUAGCCUGGGGCACAAGUGGCCCUUGAGGUGAUGUCAGUGCCCAGGUGCCUGGGUUCCUAUGUCCAGGGCACCUGCUCUGUCGCUGAAGGCUCUGACAAACUCUCAAGUGUCCGGGGAAAGAGACGCCCUGCUUCUUUUUCACAGCCUCCUGGUGGCCCUAGGCCUUUGUUACGGAGGCUCUGCCAAGGUGCACAUCUGGGUCCCAAGUAAACACCUAGAACUCAGAACUCCAGACAUCAGGCUCCAUGUGAAAAUCCGGGUCCAGGAAAUAUGGGUCCCAGGAAGUCCUCAGUCACCAAGAAACACUCAGGCCUCAGUUGGCUAUCCAGUCCCAAGUUGACACCCAGGCCUCAGGUGAACACCAGGCGCUAAGAAAACAUCAGGCCCCAGCUGAGAUCAAUCCCUGGGUGGUCGCCCGAACCCGACCUAAAUACCAAGCCCCAGGUUGACAUAGGGCCCCAGGUCACAUUAGGCUCCAGGUAGACACUGAACUCUAAGUAGACUUUAGGCCCCAUGUUCACAGCCACACCUCAAGAGGACACCACACCCCAGGGUAGCUGUAAGACUCCAUCCAGACACCAGUCCCCAGGUGGAGAAUUUGGGCCCCAUUGGAUAUCAGGUUCCAGGUAAACACCAAACCCUAGUUGGGUAUCUAAUCCAUAGGAGGACAUGAGGCACCAGGUUGGCACACAGCCCAUGCAUAGAUACCUACAGCACAGGUGGACAUGAGGCCUCAGGUACAUACCCAGCCCCCAGGUGACUAUCAGGGCCUAGGUGAACACCAGCUCCUAGAUGAACAUCGGGACCCCAGUGGAUACCCAGGCCCCUGGGAAACAUCAGGCUCCAGGUGGACACCAGGACCCAUGUGGGCAACCAGGUCCACAGGUACAUCAGGUUCCACACGGACACCCAACCUCCAAGUGGAUACCGAGCCCCCAGGGGUACACACCAGUCCCUCAACAACCGAAAGGUCACAUAUUCUCUGGCCAAAUGCAACACAGUCCUCUCCCCCAAAAAUAUGUACUUGGGAAACUGAAAAGUACACUUCUCAAUCAUUCUCAAGUCAAGGAACUCUUAAUAGAAGGCCAAAGACAUACCGAAAGAACAAACCAUGAAACUCCCGCAUCCAACACGAGUGCAAUGCUGCUCAACUAGUCCCAGAGCAAGACCCACCACAGGCUUUGCAUGGAGGACACCAAGCUAAUUUGUUUUUUUUGUAUUUUUAGUAGAGACGGGGUUUCACCAUGUUAGUCAGGAUGGUCUCGAUCUCCUGACCUCGUGAUCUGCCCGCCUCAGCCUCCCAAAGUGCUGGGAUUACAGGCCUGAGUCACUGCACCCAGCGAGAUAUGCGUACAUUUUUAAACAUGUCAAAUGUGAGAUGCAAUAUUUCUCAUAGAUUAAAACAAAACACAAACUCAAAAUCAGUAAUAUUCUUCACAUUUCAAAAUAUAAUGUAUUUUGCUGGAUUACCAC